UACAAUUGAAGCGUGCCGCACAUAACAAAGGCACACUUUACAGAAAAUGAUUGUGGCGUUCUCAAUAUGAAGGCAUGUGUUCACGAAGAAGGCCUGCACAAAUGAGCUGUUCGCGAGAAGAGGCAAAUGGAAUAUAUGCAAGAACCUGCAAUAAUCGACAAGAACAAGGACACUGGAACUGAGCUACUGGUGAACUGAUCCCUCUGCUUACCCGAUGUUGCUCCAGUUGAAGUAAGACGGCUGAGUGUUGCUACAGAUGACCACUUUACUGAAGGCACUACUGUGUUUGACGAAGCGUUCGACACAACGUGUUCCGUUAUCAAGGAAGUAGUAAUUUUUCGCUCCUCGUUAUGCCUUCAAACAAUAACUGACGGCUACAUAUUAUCCAGACUGGUGAUUGGAAUAAUUUUAUGAAUAUAAAAUGUGACAUUGCUUUUUGUAGACAGAGUCAAAUUUAAAUAUUUGUAAAUAUACGAAUACGCAAUAGAAAAUCCAUGAAAUCAAAUCGAUCAAAUAAUGUUUAUUUUCUUUUAUUACAAAGGAAGCUACAACUGCGUGGAAGCUGCUUAAUUAGGCAGCUGGACAAGGCUGCGACCUCCAUAACUGCAGCUUGGGAGAGCAGUUAUACAUAUACGAAAAGAGUAAUAAUGCUAUAUCUCGCCGUAUGUUGCUGAUCUCCCUCAAGCUCUUCAGAACUCAAAGGCUCUAAGACAACGAUGUUUCACGGAAAAGCUUUUCUAUUGCCCGAAGCAUCUUUACUAUACCAGCACGGAGUACAAGGCAUGCUUCCAAAGGCAACAUUCACCUGCCAUAGUGUUACAAUGUACACGACGAAAGAGUAAUUGAAUUCUAUGGUAAAAUGAUUCGAAUAUGUUACUCCUGGAUGUUAAGACCCCACCUAACGUCAAGAAGAGUUGGAGAUUGUUUCUUCUCAGAACCUGCCUCACUAACAGAUUUGUUUUGUGUAUUCCGGUGUGUUUGUUAGCUAGGCUACAAGUUGAACAAUGUUAACAAUGUGUUUUGUUGAAAAUUCCGCAAGUGACCUAUACGAGUCUGUUGUAUUCUCUCGCUGGACCGAAAACUAGCCUUUCUUGGAUACCUGACCCGACAUUUCUGUAUUCGUUUCAGUGUAUUUGAAUAAUGAAGUACUUUUUGACUGGUUGAUCCAUAGAUAGAUCGACGGAAUAAGUUAUUGCUUGAUUGAUUCGGGGAGUGAGUAAGUGACUGCUAGGCAAGAAAAUAAAGCUCAAAGUUUCAUGGUUUUUAAUUGCGUGCCUGAACACUGAGUGCGACGUCACAGAUUUCAAAGUAUUGCUUCGUAGUAUGGUGAGUCGUGGCUCGAAAAAACCUGUCGAAACUUCGGAAAUGCAGCCUUUGGCUCUUUAAGAAUGCAGUGGAGUCCAUGUUUACCAACAAGAGAUUACCUAAGUGUGAGAAGAUGUCGCCACAAUCGCUGACGUCAUGGCGAGCUGUUGCGAAAGCUUCAAGGUGGUGUCGCUACCGGUCAGUCCUUUUCGAGUCUCGUCUGGCUUGGGAAGCUUGCUUUCAUGAUAACAGUGGUUGUUUUGGUGUUGUAUAAAGGUUCUUACUAAUACGGCUCAAGUAAUUUUUUUCACUUUAGUGCACUCGUCGGCCUCUGCUGUGAUGGCUUAUUAGGUCGGCAUUUAAAAAUGGCUUGCUCCGACAGUAGUCUGUGAUCAAUGCGAAUGGGCGCAGUGGUAAGCUCGCGUCUCUGUACAUGCUGUGUAGAGAGGAGUCACGCAGAACGUGUUUAAAAGUCUCAUCGCGAUCAUAGUCAUCGCAGUUUGCCUUGUAGACUAUUCCAAUGGGAAAGGCAAAAGACCUCGUUAAUUGUUCUUAGAGACUAUAAAUGUCCGAGGGUCAUGAGCUCUCUCUUUCGAAAAAGAAGUAUGACAGAGGAAGCAGGAAAUGCGAAUCGCUGUAUAUUUUCAUUCGUCCAGAUGCACUGCAUGGUGACUUC